UACGGAGGGUGCAAACGUUGCUCGGAAUCAUUGGGCGUAAAGCGCACGUAGGCGGCCUGUUAAGUCGGGUGUGAAAGCCCGGGGCUCAACUCCGGAAUUGCCUUUAAGACUGCAUCGCUCGAAUUGUGGAGAGGUAAGUGGAAUUCCGAGUGUAGAGGUGAAAUUCGUAGAUAUUCGGAAGAACACCAGUGGCGAAGGCGACUUACUGGACACAUAUUGACGCUGAGGUGCGAAAGCGUGGGGAGCAAACAGG
rnacentral:rRNA from 1 species